GAGGGUAAAGCUCAGUGGUAAAGUGUAUGCUUAUUAGCAUGCACAAGGUCCUGGGUUCAAUCCCCAGUACCUCCA
rnacentral:tRNA from 1 species